rnacentral:rRNA from 1 species
UACGUAGGGCGCAAGCGUUGUCCGGAAUUAUUGGGCGUAAAGAGCUCGUAGGCGGCCUGUUGCGUCCGCUGUGAAAUCCCGGGGCUCAACCCCGGGCCUGCAGUGGAUACGGGCUGGCUAGAGGCAGGCAGGGGAGAACGGAAUUCCUGGUGUAGCGGUGAAAUGCGCAGAUAUCAGGAGGAACACCGGUGGCGAAGGCGGUUCUCUGGGCCUGUACUGACGCUGGAGGCGCGAAAGCUAGGGGAGCAAACAGG